GUGAGCUCCUCUUGUCACAUGAUUGAUAUUGUCAGAUAUUUCUGACUUUUCUGCGCGAGAGAGUUUAAUCAGUUAAGUCAUUAUCGUAUCUGAUAAGUAAUAUGUUUAUGUCGUCUGACUACAAAGGGGAAACCGGGAAAGGCUAGGAAUAUUGGUUCUACAAGAUCAUGGUGGCUUAGCAGCAGAAUAGGAUGAAAAGAAAAGAGCUGUUUUUUCGCCCUUGUUUUCUAGGAGUAAUGCCUACAAGUUUUUUUUACCUGGAAUCAGUUUUCUAAUUGAUACUUUUGUUAUAUUCUAUUCUGUCUCCUUUGCAUUAAGAUUACCUGCAAGAAACCAGUAGUUCAGCAUAUCUGUUUCAUAGCAAAAUCUGUAGCUACUGGUUUGAGCUUCUGGUAAAAGAAAAUUAAGCUGAUGUUUUUGUUUAUCUGGGAUGUCUACUGGUUUGGGCUUCUUGACGGACUUGCUAACAAAGCAUCCAUAUGUGCAGGUAUAGAUGGAGUGGGAAAUAUGAAGCUCAUUUGUGGGACAGUUCUUGCAGAGUAGAAGGGUGUAGAAGAAAAGGAAAAUAAGGACUCCUUGUGGUGUUUAUGGUAUCUCCUUUUCAGAGUACCGGGCCUCGUGUUCUGCAUUCAAGUUACACUGUAUAAAUUGCUAGCUUUUAUAUUUAGGAUCCCAUCUGGUUAAAGGUGUUAUGUAUGUUUGUAGCCGAUGAUGCUUCUAUGGUGCACGAAGUGAUUCAAGCUCGUUAGUUCUAAAGCUGGCAGAACAUCCUCAUUUAUUUAGUUUAGUUUCCAGAUGCCGUGUUUCCUUGCUGCUAUGUCUGUUAUCCAAGUACUUGGGUUCAAAUCUUAUUUGAUUGUUACCCUAUUACAUUUAUUAGUAAAUAAUGUAUUGCAUGGAUUGGAUCUUGGAUGGGAACUUUGUAACUAGCUCUGAUCAUAUUCUGAAUU